GUUUUCAUACCUGAAUUCACAGUGAUGUAUAAUUUUCAGGCCCCUUAUCCCUUACCACUAUGUUCUCACCUUCCUUUGGCAGCCAGGAGGCCCAACCAUACCCUGGGGCGCAUCAGGCAUGACAUUGCUAGCCAGUUGAGGGAAGGGAUUGUCCUGCUCUGCUCUGUGCUGGUGUGGUCUCACCUUGAGUACUGUGUGUGGAUUUGGGCGCCACAGUAUAAGAAAGAUAUAAAACUGUUAGAGAGUGUCCAAAGGAGGGCUACAUAAAUGGAGAAGGGUCUGAAGGGCAAGAUAUAUGAGGAGCAGCUGAGGUCCCUUGGUUUGUUCAGCCCAGAGCAGAGCAGGCUGAGGGGAGGCCUCAUGGCGGCCUGCAGCUCCCUCACGAGGGGAGUGGAGGGGCAGGCGCUGAGCUCUGCUCUCUGGGGACAGCGACAGGACCCGAGGGAACGGCAUGGGGCUGGGACAGGGGAGGGUCAGGCUGGGUGUUAGGAAAAGGUUCUUCACCGAGGUAUUUGGGCACUGGGACAGGCUCCCCAGGGAAGUGGACACAGCACCAAGCUUCCCUUUCCUUUCUUUGCCUUUCCUUACCUUGCUUUGCCUUGCCUUUCCUUUUCAUUUCUUUCUGUCAGGCAGAACCACUGUCAUCCCUGGGGCUGGGCCUUGUGAGGAGGAUCUCAUCUGCGAGAAACUGGCUUGCCUUCCACCAGUGCAGCAUGGCAGGGUUCACGGAGCACUCAAAGUCCUCCUAUUUAGAAAUCCUCACAGAGUCUAAGUGAAGAAAAAUCUGUGGAACAUCUUUCAUCCUGAGCCACAUGGUGCUGGCCUCCUCAGAGAAAGAGUGAGAUGCCUGGGGAUAUACAGUGCAAGAACGCCUUCCAAUGCUCUUAUCCAAGUUUUGAGAAGAACAGAGGGUGACAAUAUCUAGAUUUGCCAGUAUUGCCCCUUUCACUUACAUAGCCUAUCUGAGCAUAAUCUGUUCUUUGAAAGCAGAAGAAAGCACUAUUGGAAAACUGGGGAUUUAACGAAAUUGAAUGAUAAUUUCAAAAGCUCAUUUAGAAGGGCUUACCUGUAGUCUCUUCAUAACAGUUGCAAGAAGGUUGUUCGCAAUAGGUUGAAAUCAUCCUUUCUGAAGCAUGUCUCUUAAUGUCAAUGCCUGUACAGCCUUUAUAUUUACCUGUACGUACUGCAUGGAUAGGGACUAACACAUUCCGGGUCCACAAACCAGUCUCAUUGGAAAGUGGGAGGAAGAUUUAUUUUUCAAAUAAAAUAUAAUAUUAUGAGGGUAGGGAUCUUUAU
rnacentral:lncRNA from 1 species